rnacentral:rRNA from 1 species
ACACAUGCAAGUCGAAGCGGAGAGGAGGUGCUUGCACCUUAUCUUAGCGGCGGACGGGUGAGUAAUGCUUAGGAAUCUGCCUAUUAGUGGGGGACAACAUUCCGAAAGGAAUGCUAAUACCGCAUACGUCCUACGGGAGAAAGCAGGGGAUCUUCUGACCUUGCGCUAAUAUAUGAGCCUAAAUCGGAUUAUCUAUUUGGGGGGGUAAAGGCCUACCAAGGCGACAAUCUGUAGCGGGUCUGAGAGGAUGAUCCCCCCCACUGGGACUGAGACACGGCCCACACUCCUACAGGAGGCAGCAGUGGGGAAUAUUGGACAAUGGGGGGAACCCUGAUCCCCCCAUGCCCCGUGUGUGAAAAAAGCCUUAUGGUUGUAAAGCACUUUNNNCGAGGAGGAGGCUACUGAGACUAAUACUCUUGGAUAGUGGACNUUACUCUCAAAANAANCACCGGCUAACUCUGUGCC